rnacentral:rRNA from 1 species
AACGAACGCUGGCGGCAUGCCUAACACAUGCAAGUCGAACGAGACCUUCGUGUCUAGUGGCGCACGGGUGCGUAACGCGUGGGAACCUGCCCUUAGGUUCGGAAUAACUCCCCGAAAGGGGUGCUAAUACCGGAUAAUGUCUUCGGACCAAAGAUUUAUCGCCUUUGGAUGGGCCCGCGUUGGAUUAGCUAGUUGGUAGGGUAAAAGCCUACCAAGGCGACGAUCCAUAGCUGGUCUGAGAGGAUGAUCAGCCACACUGGGACUGAGACACGGCCCAGACUCCUACGGGAGGCAGCAGUGGGGAAUAUUGGACAAUGGGCGAAAGCCUGAUACAGCAAUGCCGCGUGAGUGAUGAAGGCCUUAGGGUUGUAAAGCUCUUUUACCCGGGAUGAUAAUGACAGUACCGGGAGAAUAAGCUCCGGCUAACUCCGUG